rnacentral:rRNA from 1 species
CUUGGUCAUUUAGGAGGGGUAAAAGGGCGAACAAGGUCUCCGUUGGUGAACCAGCGGAGGGAUCAUUACCGAGUUUACAACUCCCAAACCCCUGUGAACAUACCAAUUGUUGCCUCGGCGGAUCAGCCCGCUCCCGGUAAAACGGGACGGCCCGCCAGAGGACCCCUAAACUCUGUUUCUAUAUGUAACUUCUGAGUAAAACCAUAAAUAAAUCAAAACUUUCAACAACGGAUCUCUUGGUUCUGGCAUCGAUGAAGAACGCAGCAAAAUGCGAUAAGUAAUGUGAAUUGCAGAAUUCAGUGAAUCAUCGAAUCUUUGAACGCACAUUGCGCCCGCCAGUAUUCUGGCGGGCAUGCCUGUUCGAGCGUCAUUUCAACCCUCAAGCCCCCGGGUUUGGUGUUGGGGAUCGGCGAGCCCUUGCGGCAAGCCGGCCCCGAAAUCUAGUGGCGGUCUCGCUGCAGCUUCCAUUGCGUAGUAGUAAAACCCUCGCAACUGGUACGCGGCGCGGCCAAGCCGUUAAACCCCCAACUUCUGAAUGUUGACCUUGGAUCAGGUAGGAAUACCCGCUGAACUUAAGCAUAUCAUAAAGCGGAGGA